rnacentral:misc_RNA from 1 species
GAUGAAGAACGUAGCGAAAUGCGAUACUUGGUGUGAAUUGCAGAAUCCCGUGAACCAUCGAGUCUUUGAACGCAAGUUGCGCCCGAAGCCAUUAGGCCGAGGGCACGCCUGCCUGGGUGUCACACGUCGUUGCCCCCCCAUCUACUCCUUCGGGAUUGCGGGGGGCGGAUGAUGGCCUCCCGUGCGCCUCGUCGCGCGGUUGGCAUAAAUGCCAAGUCCUCGGCGACGCACGCCACGACAAUCGGUGGUUGCGAAACCUCGGUUGCCCGUCGUGUGCGGUCGUCGCGCAUCGAGGGCUCGAAAAAAUUGCCGGGCUUCGGCUCGGCUUUCAACGCGACCCCAGGUCAGGCGGGGUUACCCGCUGAAUUUAAGCAUAUCAAUAAGCGGAGGA